rnacentral:rRNA from 1 species
CGCAGUAGCAAUACUGAGUGGCGAACGGGUGAGUAUAAUGUGGGUAUCUGCCUUUUGGUUUGGAAUAACAUGAGGAAACUUAUGCUAAUACCGGAUAAGCCUUUACAGGGAAAGCUUUAUGCACCGAUGGAUGAGCCCGCACUUGAUUAGCUAGUUGGUAAGGUAAUGGCUUACCAAGGCUACGAUCGAUAGCUGAUCUGAGAGGAUGAUCAGCCACAUUGGGACUGAGACACGGCCCAAACUCCUACGGGAGGCAGCAGUGGGGAAUCUUGCACAAUGGGGGAAACCCCGAUGCAGCGAUGCCGCGUGAGUGAAGAAGGCCUUUGGGUUGUAAAGCUCUUUCGUCGGGGAAGAAAAUGACUGUACCCGAAUAAGAAGGUCCGGCUAACUUCGUGCCAGCAGCCGCGGUAAUACGAAGGGACCUAGCGUAGUUCGGAAUUACUGGGCUUAAAGAGCACGUAGGUGGUUAAGAAAGUUGGUGGUGAAAUCCCAAGGCUCAACCUUGGAACUGCCACCAAAACUUUUUAACUAGAGUAUGAUAGAGGGAAGUGGAAUUUCUAGUGUAGAGGUGAAAUUCGUAGAUAUUAGAAAGAACACCGAUUGCGAAGGCAACUUCCUGGGUCAUUACUGACACUGAGGUGCGAAAGCAUGGGUAGCGAAGAGGAUUAGAUACCCUCGUAGUCCAUGCCGUAAACGAUGUGUGCUAGACGUUGGAAACUUAGUUUUCAGUGUCGCAGCUAAAGCGUUAAGCACACCGCCUGGGGAGUACGACCGCAAGGUUAAAACUC